rnacentral:lncRNA from 1 species
GAACUUGACCGUGUCCACGCUGCGGAGAUGGUACACGGAGAGGCUGCGGGCUUGCCACCAGGUGCUGCGGACGUGGUGCGGGCUGCAGGACGUGUACCAGAUAAGUACCAGUGCAAAAGCCUUUUGGAUUAUUUCUCAUUCUUCCACUUUUGCCUCACCCACUCCAGUUUGGUCUCCUCACAAGAUAAGGUCUCACCAUGUUGUCCAGACUGGACUUGAACUCCUGGCUUCAAGCAAUCUGCCCACCUCCGCCUCCCAAAGUCCUGGGAUUUAUAGGCAUGAACCACCGCACCUGGCCUCCCCACCAUUUUAUUUUCUCCCGUGGCUAUCACAACCAGGAAUAAGAGAGGGAGGGGGACCUCAGUGGUGAUUUUAUGCUAAGGAUUAUGGAUAACACCAUCCCCCCAUUUUACAAAUGAAGAAACUGGGGCUCAAAAAGCUUAAUUAAAUGUCUAAGGCCACUGAGGCAGCAAUUAA